UACGUAGGGUGCAAGCGUUGUCCGGAAUUAUUGGGCGUAAAGAGCUCGUAGGCGGUCUGUCGCGUCGGAUGUGAAAACUCGGGGCUCAACCCCGGGCCUGCAUUCGAUACGGGCAGACUAGAGUUCGGCAGGGGAGACUGGAAUUCCUGGUGUAGCGGUGAAAUGCGCAGAUAUCGGGAAGAACACCCGUGGCGAAGGCGGCUCUCUGGGACGGUACUGACGCUGAGACGCGAAAGCGUGGGGAGCGAACAGG
rnacentral:rRNA from 1 species